ACUUACCCGCGUUAGGGAUUGCAGAGAAAAGCCCACAGCGAAACCAAUUAAUAUCGGGAGCGCGAGGACUUGUAACGUAAAGCCCGACCCUUU
rnacentral:misc_RNA from 1 species